GCAUAAAAGAUGAAAGCCUUUAGAGUGAACCCUGACACUUAGGAGUUGGUUAACAGUUGUCAGUUUUGAUCAGGUCUUAAGUCCCUUCUGAAUCUGAGAGCUUGGGACCAGUCCGCCGUGCUGCUACAACAUCUGGCCAGCAUUCGAGGUUGUUUCUCAAGGACACAAGAGUGCACCUCCGUCUAAGUCAUGGACAGAUUGUGUAGGCUAAAGAAUUUCAGCAUUUUUGGACUACAUCAUUAAGGUCUUAUUUUAUUUAGAAUCAAUAGAGAAACCAAGAAUUCUUGUGAACAGAAAUAGAAAUUUCAUAGUAAAUGUCAUUAAAACUAUUUUUCCAUUUUAACAUAUAAUUCUAAUAUAUUGUUUGGGAUACAACAAUAUAUUGGAAUAGUCCCACAAUUGAAAUGUUACAAUUAAAUAAAAAAAAUUCAGUGUCUAGAAACCAAACAAUUGAGCCAGUAACUGUAACCAAAAUUUAAAAUUUCCUUCUUUAUAAAGAUGUGUGUGUGUGUGUUGUGUGUGUGUGUGUGUGUGUGUGUUUGCGUGUGUC